UACGUAGGGGGCAAGCGUUGUCCGGAAUCAUUGGGCGUAAAGCGCGUGUAGGCGGCUUGGUAAGUCCGCUCUGAAAGCCCGGGGCUCAACCCCGGGAGGCGGGUGGAUACUGUCAAGCUCGAGUCCGGAAGAGGCGAGUGGAAUUCCUGGUGUAGCGGUGAAAUGCGCAGAUAUCAGGAGGAACACCAAUGGCGAAGGCAGCUCGCUGGGACGUGACUGACGCUGAGACGCGAAAGCGUGGGGAGCAAACAAG
rnacentral:rRNA from 1 species